CAGAAAAACAAAAUGGAUACUAGAAGAAAACAGUGGAUUUCAGGAAAAUCAACCAAGUAGUAAUUCUAAUUGCAGUUGCAGUGAUAAAUAUAUUAUCUUUUCUACAAAAGAAUAACAUGGCUGCAGGUGCAGCUGCCACCAAGGAAAAGAAGAGAUGUUCGUAGAAGCAAGAUAGAGAAAUCAAAUGAUUUUCCACAAUUGUCUUUAUUCCUGUGCUUGCUAAGCACCUCAAAUCAGAACAAAAACCUUUCCUAAAAUAAUAAAGCUAAUUUUCCAAACUU